CGGGUAAAAUAUUUGAAAUUUUGAAUGCAGAAUUCGGGAAAUCUGUAUAGUAUUUAUUAUUAUGAUCAAAAUCUAAAUAUUACGGGUUAUUGCGUUUCGUUCUACCCCGUCGAUAUACCGUGUACAUCGUGGAGAGGGGAGGGGGGUAGUAACAUAAAAACGCAUUAUGGCAAGAGACCCAGGGACCUGAUAUCUCUUUAGACCAAAGGAGAUACCACAUUUUACAGCACUGUAUACUACAUUCUGAUAUCUGUGUAAGUAGCGAUACACUAUCGUGAUGUAUCCUUACGCUGUCAUUUGUUAUUUAUUUUAGAUUCUGAGCGGAGCGAGGAAUGUAUUGGUUUCACAAUAAUGUGUUUUUUUUUUUCUUUUUUUUUAUCAUAUGAACACUUUUUCUACAAGAAAAGAUUACUCCGACUAUCAAUUAUAGCACCUUUUCCAAAAGGGGCAAUGUUCUCUGGGUAGUACUACAUUGAACAGGUUAUUUUUUGAAAUUAUUAUUAAUAUUAGAUGUAAUGAGGAAAACCAGGUUAAAAAAGACUAAAAGAUUAAAGAUUGCU